UAGUGUUAUAGCUCUAAGAAUUUGUCUACCAGGUUUUCUGAUCAUCACUGGAAAUGCCCCC
ensembl:snRNA U7 U7 small nuclear RNA